rnacentral:rRNA from 1 species
UACGAAGGGGGCUAGCGUUGUUCGGAAUCACUGGGCGUAAAGCGCACGUAGGCGGAUCUUUAAGUCAGAGGUGAAAAUCCCAAGGCUCAACCUUGGAACUGCCUUUGAUACUGGGGAUCUUGAGUCCGGGAGAGGUGAAGUGGAACUGCGAGUGUAGAGGUGAAAUUCGUAGAUAUUCGCAAGAACACCAGUGGCGAAAGGCGGCUCACUGGCCCGGUACUGACGCUGAGGUGCGAAAGCGUGGGGAGCAAACAGG